UCCUAACCUCCAGCCUGAGUAACCUGGUGGGAGGAGGCUCUGUCUGCGAGAGACAAGCUUACGUGGCCCGCAGUUUAAAAGCAGAACUGACUGCAUCUUUUUUUCCACUUGGGAAAUAGGUGUCCUCUUACUGCCCUCACCUGGUGCACAGUGGGAACUGCAGGGAGAAGGAAGAAAACAAAACUAAAGUCGUCUGAAUUCGGGUCACCUCUAGCAGAAGUGAAAGCUCUGAGGAUUGGCUGGUUUCUCUGACUAGCAGAGAAAAUUACCGGUUUGGGGGUCUGUCUUAGGGUUUCCAUUGCUGCAAUGAAACCAUGACCAGAAGAUCAAGUUGGAGAGGAAAGGGUUUAUUCGGCUUACAUUUUUACCGCACUGUUCGUUCUUCGUUAAGGGAAGUCAGGACAAGAACUCAAAACAGGGCAGGAUCCUGGAGGCAGGAGCUGAUGCACAGGACAUGACAGGUGCUGCUUCCUGGUUUGCUCCCCAUGGCUUGCUCAGCCUGCUUUCUUCUAGAACCUACGGCCACCAGCCCAGGGGUAGCACCACCCACCAUGGGCUGGGCCUUCCCCAUCCAUCACUAGUUAAGAAAAUGCCUUCCAUCUGGAUUUUUUUUUUCUUUUUCUUUUUCUUUUUCUUUUCUUUUCUUUUUUUUGGAGCUGGGGACCGAACCCAGGCCAUCUGGAUCUUCUGAAGGCAUUUUCUCCAUUGAGAUUCCCUCCUGUCAGCUGACUUUAAUCUGCGUUAAACUGACAUAAGACUGGCCAGCACAGGGCAAAAGAUCAUGCCAUAUGAGACAGAAUUUCUCCUGCCUCUGUGUGUGUAAUGUUUCCUUUUUUCUUUCUUUCUUUCUUUCUUUUUUUUUUUUUUUUUUUUUCGGAGCUGGGGACUGAACCCAGGGCUUUGCGCUUACUAGACAAGCGCUCUACCAUUGAGCUAAAUCCCCAACCCGUGUGUAAUGUUUCCUAACCUGUAGUUACAGGGCUUAGAACCCAGAACCCCAUGAGGUGCAAGAAACCUAGCGGUAAGCUGUCUCAUCUAAACCAACCCAUUUGUUUUGUUUUGCUCGGACUACUGAGAUUUCCAUGUUGCCCAAUCUGGCCCAGGACUUCUGGAAGUGAUCCUCCGACCUCAUCCUCCAGAGAAGAUGGGACAGUAGGAGGUGUGGAUGUUUGUGAGGAACCACGUGGGUGCCAGGGUUCCCUGUAACUCAUCUGUAGACCAGGCUGGUCCGGACCUCAGAGAUCUGCCUGCCUCUGCCUCCCGAGUACUGGGGGGUCUAAGAUGAACACCAUCCCCGUCCCCUCCUUUGUGAGGGUUGUAGAGAUCAACCUUGUGAAGGAAAAGUGGGAUGAGAGAGAGGCUCCACAGGCUCUGGGGCUCCUUGAAAACUCCUGAUCUACUGUACACGGCACUAAAUCUAAGAUGGCUCCCGGAACACCAGUGAGACAGCAAGAAGGAAGUGAGGCCAGGUGCUGGGAACUGAACCUGAGUCCUCUCCAAGAGUAGCCAAUGCUCUUAACCACUGAGCCACCUCUCUACCUUCCACCCGUUUUGAGACAAGAUCUUCAUGUAGCUUAGGUUGGUCUUGAACUCAGUAUAAAGUUGAGAAUGACCUUGAACUUCUGAUUUUCCUGUUUCCACCUCCCAAGUCCUGAAUUUACAGGCAUGCACCAUCAUACCCAGUUCCAAGCUUGUGUUUUCAAUGCUUCGCUCCCAGAGGUGACACUAUAUUAGGGGGCUGUGGAAACAGGAGGUGGGGCUAACUGGUGGUGAGCCCUUGAGGGUAUACUAUCUGUCUUAGGGUUUUAUUGCUGUGAAGAGACAUCAGCAUGUAACUCUUAUAAAGGAAAACAUUUAAUUUGGGGCUGGCUUAUAUUCUCAGAGGCUUAUUCCUUUCAUCACGGCGGGAAGCACGGCAGAGUGCAGGCAGACUUGGUGCUGGAGGAGCCGAGAGGUCUACGUCUUGAUUCAGAGACCGCAGAAGGGGACUGUGAGCCACACUGGGUGUGGUUUGAGCAUAGGAGACUUCAAAGCCCGCCCCCACAGUGACGCACUUCCUUCUACAAGGCUAUACCUCCCAAUGGUCUCACUCUCUAAGGGCCCAGCAUUCAGACACGUGAGCCUAUGGGGGCCGUACUAGACAGGUCCACUUUUCCAUUACCUCUGGCGGGUGGCGGGCUAGAAGGAAGGUUAAAGCUUUUAAGAACCAUCAUUAAAAGUAGGUGUUUGGAAAUUCUUAGCUACGGAUGCAUUCUUCACAGAUGGUCUUAUAGGAAUUCUCUCUUAUAGCACACGGUCCUUAGCUCAUUUAAGCUGCACUCUAUAUAACUCGGAUGUGUGCCUUUCCAAAUACGGGCUGGUUGAGAAUGGACUGUGUUGGGCACGGCUCUGCAGUCAGGAGAGCAGAUGGAUCUGUCUGCAAAACUCGAGGGCCCCUGUCACCAGCCCCUGUGCUAUGCUGCUAAUGGGUCUCGGUUCUAGUUUGAUAAGAGGCCUGGGCCUUAGACUGUCAGACACAAGGACUACGCCAGCUGCAUUAAAUUAUGGAGUAGCUCAGUUUCAGCAGGAAGUGGGUGGUUGGCGUUGUGGUUUGAAUGCGACAUAUCCCCCAUGGGCUCUGUUUGAACACCUGGUGGUGGAUCCCGUACACUGCAGAGUGCUCCGCCAAUAACCAUACUCAUACUUAGCCUACGCACCAGUCAGUUCUGACCUUCUGGCCAUGGGACUAAGAACUACUUUUGUUUUUUAAUCUCCGAAAGAAAAUUUAAAUCUAUUCUUAGUGUGUGUAUGUCCCGUCUAAAAGGAUGAGGAAACCAGCAAGGAAUGGUCAGGUCAAAUCAGGAUCAAAUGGAACGUUAAACCCAGCUCCGUGCCCAGCAUUGGAGCAUGCGCAGUUAGAAUGGAAGUUCCAACCCCACCAGCUUUUCAGGUGGGCUCUACUCCCUGCUUGCAGCUUCCCCUGGGAUCACCAUCUUCCGUCCCAGAGCUUCGUACGUCACCCCUAGGAACUGCCUGGAAGGUUUCUUACCCUGAUGUAGUUUCUCGGCUUCCCAGGUCUUUCUUUGAAAUCUAGUCGAAAGCUGUUCUACCCUUAACAAUCUUAGACGUUUCUACACAUUGCAAAGCCACAGCGUGAACGACACUGAGAUUUUCUUGAGUUGCAGCCAGGUACUAGGGCUACAGUGACCUCAGAAUUCCUGAAUGGCUGAGUGUAGGCAGAAACAGUUUUCUUGUGUGUGUGUGUGGGGUGGGGGGCACGAGUUAAAAUGUUUUCACCUUUGGGGCUGCAGUUGGGGCUUCUAUAGUGUCUCCAUCCAGGGUACUUGGCUUCUUCAUACUGGUCCUGAGCUUGUCAGUAGCUGUAGUCUCCUUGACCCCUGUUCUAGGUUUGGCUGAGAUAAACACCAUGGACAAAAAGCAGCUUGGGGGAGGAGCGCAUUUAUUUCAGCGUCUGCUUCUGUCACAUACAUCAAUGAAGGAAAUCAGGGCAGGAGCCAUGUUAGAAUAAGGUGUACUCACUCAUUCUUUGGUUUAUACUUAGCUAGCCUUCUUUCACACCCCAGGACCACUGUCUUGGGAGCAGCAUAUGGAGGAGCAAGACAAUCUGAAUACCUGAAUAGAGAAUGAUGUAACUGGGGCUGGAGAGAUGGCUCAGUGGUUAAGAGCACCGGCUGCUCUUCAGAGGUCCUGAGUUCAAUUCCCAGCAACCACAUGGUGGCUCACAACCAUCUGUAAUGGGAUCUGAUGUCCUCUUCUGGUGUGUCUGAGGACAGACAGUUACUCAUUAAUAAGAUAAGUAAAUCUUAAAUAAUGAUCAUGAUGAUAAUGAUGAUGAUGGAGGAUGUUGUACCUGAAAAUACAGGUUAAUUUUUACCCACCCCCACUAACCACAUCAGCAGUCUGGCGAUUCACUUAUACAAGUCUCUCUUCCAAUGAUGUGUGUGCAUGCAUGUGGUUAUUAGUAUAUAAUAUAGACUAGAUAUAAAACAAAAGGAGAGGUGGUAACACACUGGCAAACGUUUCUAGCACCUGUUCUGUUUUUAAUUUCCUUAUAAAAAUGUUUUUAGGCUCACAUUUUCAAAGUUAUCAGGACUCUCUAAAUGCUAUAAGACUGGAAGCGGUUGCACGAGGCUGAACUGACUUGCAGAAGAUGGUUGAAGGUCAAUGAAUUUUACGGCUUUUAAAACUGCCCAGGUAGCUGUAUUAUCGUCACAUUUGAGAAGCAUGCAUUUCUGAAUUUUUUUUCAAAUUGCCGACUGUACUACAAACAAAAAUUAGCACUUAGUAAACAGAGACAUGGAAGUUCAAACUAUUAUAGUUUUAUUUCCCAAAGUGAACCCAAACCCAGGAAUAUCUCCUAGACAUCGAAUUUUAUAUAAUUUUGCUUUAGAACUGUGCAAAAUAUGCUGGGGUGAUAAACAUUACAUUCUAUAUAUUUCCACAUACAUGUUUUUAUUCCUGAAAUACAAUAAUGGAGGCUCCAUCAGCCCUGACCCAUGAUCACAUCGUAAUUAUAGUAAACUAGUGCCUUUUAAGCUUGUUUUCAACAAGUUUGGUUUUUACUGGUACUGUGGACUAAACCCGGGACCUUGUGAAUGCUAGGCAAGUACUCUACAACUGAGCUGUACUCUCGGACUUUUCUUAAUCCUUUGUGCUGGAGAGCAAAACAGGGCUUUAUUGGGUAGCCCAGGCAGACUUUGAACGUGUGGUCCCCUUGCUUCAGCCUCCUGAGUAUGGGAUUACAGCCCUGUGUCAUUGGGUCCAGCCCCAUAGUUUGGCGGGCUUCAUUACAUGCUCUUCUUUCUCCUGAGCAUUGAACUCCCUUUAAAGGCAGCACGACCUAGCAAGGCCCAUCAACACCAAGAGUGCUGACAUUUGAGGCCUAUCAAGUACAGGAAAGUGCACAGACCUGUAUACCCCAUACUCACCAGACAGACCACAACCACUCUAUUGCACGAGUUUGGCUUCCAGUGGUUCUUGAUCAUGUCUGAAUGCCUAGAAAUGCCCAAGUGACUUGACUCAGGGCUGGUCUAAUCCACCCAUUCCUGGUCUCAUUCAAAGCACAACUUAAACAAAGGCAAAUCAUCAAAUUGCAACAGGACUCUAGAUUUUCACCGUGGUCUCUGGGGUUUCAUGACUAGAAUCCUUAAUGUGGAUUCUUAAUGAGAACAGGAUACGUGACUAUUGGAAGCGAGUAUGCUGUGUGAGCGCCUGGUCAGAUGUGAGAAUGAACAUCUCAGGCAGGGUUGUGUGCAUGCCCAUCAUCAGGUCUCGCAAACUCCUGCCUGUGCUAAGCGUCUGUAAAAAUAAACCAGUAUAGCUAUUAUUUCUGUUUCUACAGAAUAAGACGAAGAUCUAGAACUCUGACAACUAAAUAUUAAUGUAUUUAUUGCUAGGUGCAUAAGUACAUUUGCCGCACAAUGCAGGCCACUUUUCUUUGCACCUCUACAUGGGUUCUGGAAGCGGAUGGAACUCAGGCUUUUGAGACAAGCCACUGUACCCACUGAGCCAUCUUACCAGCUCAGAACAAUUUUAAAGGCAAUGCUGGAAGAUGCAAGGGGCUCGUUCACACAUCAGAACAAUGAAAACACUUCCACUUAUUCAUUACAACUCACGCGAAAUUUGGAAGACUUGGAGGUUUCAAAAUACUGAGCCAAAAAGAACAAGUAUGUUAUUGCUUCAACACAGCUGUGGAAACAACCCACUGAACUUCAAUGUUCCUUUGUUCUAUGAGAAGACUGGACACCAGCAGGGUCCAGGGUCUGUAGGAGCACUGUCCAGUGUGGAUUUUAGAAGAGUGACCAUUGGAUAAAUUGAGUUCCAUGUAGACUUUGCCAAACUUACUAAACAAUGACAGUCACUUGAGUCAAGAACUUUAGAGUCACACACACAGAGCACCACAGGAAAUAAAAGGAAUGGCUAAGACUAAAGGGAUCCCUGACAGCCCCACUUGUUACACACAUGCCCCAACAUUCCUUUUGAGGUCAGCGGUUCUCAAGGUUUAUUAUGCAAAGCCCUAGAGGGGACAUUCUCAAGAUGGAGGACCUGGUUCCCUAGCCACAAUUGACUCUGGGUCUUGGGGAAGGGCAGGAAUGCCCCCACAAAUGCCUGUGUGAUUCUAGUUCAUGGGUUUCUGAGCACCGUGAUGCUAGUCAAGACAAGGGCUUUUCCUAGAUCACAACUCCAAGGAUCUUAAAUCCCUGGCCUUUCCUCCUUACAUGAAUCUUUAAAGAUGAUUUGCUCAGGACAUGAGCCAUCUAAUUUCCUCUCCACAGUCUUGCCACAAAAAAAGUAGCGGCUUUGGGGGACAGAAUGUACAGUUAGCUCCAAUUUCACCUACUGUUUAAGAAAAAACAAGACAGAAGUAAGUCCUACAGUAAGCUUUCUGCACUCAGAGGGUUCCAACACGUUUUAUUUUGCAGAUGACUGGUGCAUACUUUCAAGGACCAACAUCAUAUCAUUUCCUAUAGUGUCCAAUUAGUGUCCUUCUGUGACAGCUUCCUCUCUGGGGCCAGACUCGGUGGUUCUGUUCCAGCUGUAGCGUGGCUCCCAGGGACACAAGCAUGUGGCAGCCUCUUCCUUCUGGGCGCUCCAUUGGUCCAGUGGUGGUUUCCUGGUGUUCCGUGUUGAGAAGGUUGGGUGAGUUUACAAAGCUUAGCUUUGGGGCCUGUUAGUAGGAAGCCCGUGAAACCUGAAGACUGGUGCUUUUUCUCUUUUGAAGACAGGCAUUUGAGGACCCAGUGCCCUUGUGCUUAAAGACGGGAAUCCCCCAGCUGCUUAACAGAUAA